rnacentral:lncRNA from 1 species
AUUAUCAAAAUCUUAUUUUGCAACCUAUUUUUCUAUUACAGAUGUCCAAGUUGUGAUUUUGCUGCCCUUAUGGACCCUGAAGAUAAAGUAUUUAAAUGUCAUAACCAUUCAUGUUUAAAGGUCAGUUUAUAAUGUCAGUUUAAUUCAUGCCUUAAAGUCUGUAAUGUGAUACCAAUGCAUUCCUCAAGGUCAUUUAUAAUGUCAUACCAAUGAAUGUUUCAAGGUUAUUAUACCCCGCUAUAAAAAGUUGGGG